AAACCGUUCGGGGGUAAACGGACAGAGCCCGUGAAUCCGGGCGACGGAAUUCAGAAUCGGCGUCGUUCGCGCGUCGUCGGUUCGAUAUUUCCGUCGCCGACCAUUACACGGACGUCGCGACCCGUUCGGUGUCGGUCUGCAGGAGACGCGCGAAAGUUCGUGGACGUCUGUCGGCCUCGGUCGGCGGGCGUUUCGCGAGUGCGCGUUCUUUUCUGGCCGACUCGCCGGACGGUAUGCGAAGCGGUGAUCGCGGCGGCCUCUAGUCGGCGCCGUCGCGUUACCGGUCUGCGACGAAUCUUCGGGCCUCUUUCCGA
rnacentral:rRNA from 1 species